AUAGAGUGAGAAAGUCGUAACAAGGUCUCCGUUGGUGAACCAGCGGAGGGAUCAUUA
rnacentral:rRNA from 1 species